UACGGGGGGGGGCAAGCGUUGUUCGGAAUUACUGGGCGUAAAGGGCUCGUAGGCGGCCAACUAAGUCGGAUGUGAAAUCCCCAGGCUUAACCUGGGAACUGCAUCCGAUACUGGAUGGCUUGAAUCCGGGAGAGGGAUGCAGAAUUCCAGGUGUAGCGGUGAAAUGCGUAGAUAUCUGGGAGGAAUACCGGUGGCGAAGGCGGCAUCCUGGACCGGCAUUGACGCUGAUGAGCGAAAGCUAGGGGAGCAAACGGG
rnacentral:rRNA from 1 species